rnacentral:rRNA from 1 species
AGUGGCGAACGGGUGAGUAACACGUGAGUAACCUGCCCCCUUCUUCUGGAUAACCGCAUGAAAGUGUGGCUAAUACGGGAUAUUCUGCGCCUGCUGCAUGGUGGGUGUGGGAAAGAUAUUGUUCGGUGGGGGAUGGGCUCGCGGCCUAUCAGCUUGUUGGUGGGGUGAUGGCCUACCAAGGCGGUGACGGGUAGCCGGCCUGAGAGGGUGGACGGUCACACUGGGACUGAGACACGGCCCAG